GUUGCUGUGGUGAAGUCUUAACAUGUAAGAAGAUCCACUCAUAAAGGUUGGAUCUUCAAUGAGAUAUACCUGUUAUGCCUUGCUUCUGAGCUAC